UUUUGACCUCGGAUCAGGUAGGGAUACCCGCUGAACUUAAGCAUAUCAAUAAGCGGGAGGA
rnacentral:rRNA from 2 species